rnacentral:other from 1 species
AAUUCCAGUGACAGGUGGAGGGAGCGAGUGGGUGGCUGCUGGGGUAGAAGAGCAAAUAGGGCAGAGCUGGAUCCUGCACAGGGAGAAACAGAGUCAAAGGGCUUUGCCUGGGGUCUCACCCUCCCCCACAGUCCUUGCCUCAUCCGAGAUUCUCUUCCUACUGCAGCAGGUGGAUGUUGCCCUGGGACUGGCAGCGC